rnacentral:rRNA from 1 species
AUACGUAGGUGACAAGCGUUAUCCGGAUUUACUGGGCGUAAAGGGCGUGUAGGCGGUCUUGCAAGUCAGAAGUGAAAUUCCUGAGCUCAACUCGGGCGCUGCUUCUGAAACUGCAGGACUUGAGUGCUGGAGGGGAUAGCGGAAUUCCUAGUGGAGCGGUAAAAUGCGCAGAUAUUAGGAAGAACACCGGUGGCGAAGGCGGCUAUCUGGACAGUAACUGACGCUGAGGCGCGAAAGCGUGGGGAGCAAACAGGAUUAGAUACCAUGGUAGUCCACGCCGUAAACGAUGAAUACUAGGUGUAGGGGGUAUCGACUCCCUCUGCGCCGCAGUUAACACAAUAAGUAUUCCGCCUGGGGAGUACGGCCGCAAGGUUGAAACUUAAAGGAAUUGACGGGG